AAAAAACUAUAAAAUGCCAGAGGACCACAUGUGGACACUCCCCACCAGAGUUCAUACACACAGUUUAGACACCCCACAAGCCAUCAUUACUAACUUAGCCCUUUUCUUCAGCAUAUCAUUUAACAAUGACUUCAAUAUUCCAGCUCUAAAACAAUACUCAAUUAAAACCAUAGUUAUGGCCAUUUUACUUUGAGCUACUCAAGGGGUAAUAAGGCAUUUUGUGGAGUACUGAAUGCAAAGCUGCAUUUCAUUG